rnacentral:RNase_MRP_RNA from 1 species
AAGCCACAGGAUGAAGUGAGCGGGCUUAACAAGCCCUGGAAAGUCCCCGGGCCUUAUGCGCAGCGAUGCGCCCACGGAGACGUGGACGGCCCAUGGGCUGGCUUCUCCUCGCUUUAAGCGGGGGGCUGAGACAAGUGUGGAGCCCAAUUCAUAGGGAGCCGGCUCUGGGUCAAUUGGCUAAUCUCACAGUUAUUCACUUGGUCCGAAAUUGGAUUAACAGAACGGGGCUUACACUCCUGUGGUA